rnacentral:tRNA from 1 species
CUUUGUGUAUCUAUAUUUAAGUGCCGGAUUCUUACUCCGGAGAUGUGUUUAACACUACAGAGU